rnacentral:rRNA from 1 species
UACAGAGGUCCCGAGCGUUGUUCGGAUUCACUGGGCGUAAAGGGCGCGUAGGCGGCAUGACAAGUCACUUGUGAAAUCUCCGGGCUUAACUCGGAACGCUCAAGUGAUACUGUCGCGCUAGAGUGCGGAAGGGGCAAUCAGAAUUCUUGGUGUAGCGGUGAAAUGCGCAGAUAUCAGGAGGAACACCGGUGGCGAAGGCGGAUCUCUGGGCCUUACCUGGCGCUCAGGCGCGAAAGCUAGGGGAGCAAACGGG